rnacentral:tRNA from 1 species
GCGGGACUAGUACAUCGGUAGUAUAUAUCCUUCCCAAGGAUAAGAGGCGGGUUCGACUCCCGUGUUCCGCU